CGCCGGCUUAAGUCCCUUGGAACAGGGCGUCAUAGAGGGUGAGAAUCCCGUAUGCGGCCGGUGAUCGAGUCCAAUGUGAAACCCCUUCGACGAGUCGAGUUGUUUGGGAAUGCAGCUCUAAAUGGGUGGUAAAUUUCAUCUAAAGCUAAAUACUGGCCAGAGACCGAUAGCGCACAAGUAGAGUGAUCGAAAGAUGAAAAGCACUUUGGAAAGAGAGUUAAAAAGUACGUGAAAUUGUUGAAAGGGAAGCGCUUGCAGCCAGACCUGUCGUCGGGUGAUCAGCCGUCGUUUUCGGCGGUGCACUCGCCCGGUCGCAGGCCAGCAUCGGUUUGGGCGGUUGGAUAAAGGCCGCGGGAACGUAGCUCCCCUCGGGGAGUGUUAUAGCCCAUGGUGCAAUGUAGCCAGCCCGGAUCGAGGAUCGCGCUUCGGCUAGGAUGCUGGCGUAAUGGUUGUAAGCGGCCCGUCUUGAAACACGGACCAAGGAGUCUAACAUCUACGCAAGUGUUUGGGUGUCAAACCCAUGCGCGGAAUGAAAGUGAACGGAGGUGAGACCCCCUUAAGGGCGCAUCACCGACCGAUCCAGAUGUCUUCGGAUGGAUUUGAGUAAGAGCGUAGCUGUUGGGACCCGAAAGAUGGUGAACUAUGCCUGAAUAGGGUGAAGCCAGAGGAAACUCUGGUGGAGGCUCGCAGCGGUUCUGACGUGCAAAUCGAUCGUCAAAUUUGGGUAUAGGGGCGCUUUUUCGCCCCUCACAGCCUGCAUCGCAGGCUCUAGUCCUCUGGGCGAGGCUCACGAUCUACGGGGAUGUCUGCCGCCAGCGGACUGCCCGUACCCACCCGGUUACCCGGGUCUGGGCCACAGAUCAAGCGUAGGCCGGCGGUUGUCCGAUGU
rnacentral:rRNA from 1 species